AUUGAACGCUGGCGGCAGGCCUAACACAUGCAAGUCGAGCGGAUGAAGGGAGCUUGCUCCUGGAUUCAGCGGCGGACGGGUGAGUAAUGCCUAGGAAUCUGCCUGGUCGUGGGGGAUAACGUCCGGACACGGGCGCUAAUACCGCAUACGUCCUGAGGGAGAAAGUGGGGGAUCUUCGGACCUCACGCUAUCUGCUGAGCCUAGGUCGGAUUAGCUGGUUGGUUGGGUAAGGCCUACCAAGGCGACGAUCCGUAACUGGUCUGAGAGGAUGAUCAGUCACACUGGAACUGAGACACGGUCCAGACUCCUACGGGAGGCAGCAGUGGGGAAUAUUGGACAAUGGGCGAAAGCCUGAUCCAGCCAUGCCGCGUGUGUGAAGAAGGUCUUCGGAUUGUAAAGCACUUUAAGUUGGGAGGAAGGGCAGUAAGUUAAUACCUUGCUGUUUUGACGUUACCAACAGAAUAAGCACCGGCUAACUUCGUG
rnacentral:rRNA from 1 species